rnacentral:rRNA from 1 species
AUGGUCUUAGCUUGCUAAGGCCGAUGGCGACCGGCGCACGGGUGAGUAACACGUAUCCAACCUGCCGUCUACUCUUGGACAGCCCUCUGAAAGGAAGAUUAAUACAAGAUGGCAUCAUGAGUCCGCAUGUUCACAUGAUUAAAGGUAUUCCGGUAGACGAUGGGGAUGCGUUCCAUUAGAUAGUAGGCGGGGUAACGGCCCACCUAGUCUUCGAUGGAUAGGGGUUCUGAGAGGAAGGUCCCCCACAUUGGAACUGAGACACGGUCCAAACUCCUACGGGAGGCAGCAGUGAGGAAUAUUGGUCAAUGGGCGCAGGCCUGAACCAGCCAAGUAGCGUGAAGGAUGACUGCCCUAUGGGUUGUAAACUUCUUUUAUAAAGGAAUAAAGUCGGGUAUGUAUGCCCGUUUGCAUGUACUUUAUGAAUAAGGAUCGGCUAACUCCGUGCCAGCAGCCGCGGUAAUACGGAGGAUCCGAGCGUUAUCCGGAUUUAUUGGGUUUAAAGGGAGCGUAGAUGGAUGUUUAAGUCAGUUGUGAAAGUUUGCGGCUCAACCGUAAAAUUGCAGUUGAUACUGGAUAUCUUGAGUGCAGUUGAGGCAGGCGGAAUUCGUGGUGUAGCGGUGAAAUGCUUAGAUAUCACGAA